rnacentral:tRNA from 1 species
GGGCCUGUAGUUCAGUCUGGAAGUUGCCAGCAAAUUGCCGGUUAACUAGACAAUUAGAAUGAUCGACUGAUAAUCGAUUGGUCCUCAGUUCAAAUCUGAGCAGGCCCA